rnacentral:snRNA from 1 species
AUCACUUCUCGGCCUUUUGGCUAAGAUCAUGUGUAGUAUCUGUUCUUAUCAGUUUAAUAUCUGAUAUCGUCCCUCUAUCUGAGGACAAUAUAUUAAAUGGAUUUUUGGAGCUGGGAGGUGGAAUAGGAGCUUUCUCCGUCUACUCCAUGCAUUGACCUGGUAUUGCAGUACCUCCAGGAACAGUGCACCAAAA